CUUACAUUCAACAAGCAUUUUUAAGCUUGAUGGUGAAAUAGAUGAAUAAGACAUAGUCACUGCAUUCAUUGAUCUUAACAAGAGACAGAUGUCUAAGCAGCUAAGUAUAAUAAGGUGUUAUACAUCCUAUUUUCGUUGUUUUGUAUGUGGUAUAGGGAAGGCAAGAGGAAGAAAGGUAUAUUGAGGGUCCCCAAGACCACCCUCAAGCUCAAUGAUUUUCUAGAAGAACUCACCAGACUCAAAAAGGCUGUUAUAUUCACAGUUACUGUUCACUGCAGUGAAACGAUACAGAUAAAGAUCAGCAAGGGAGAAGACAGAUGAUAUGAAGUCCGGAGAAACCAGUCAAAAGCUUCCAGGUGUCCACUUCCAGGGAAGUUGCACAGGUAGUGACCCUGUCUUUUUGGAAACGGAUAAUCAGGCUUCCAUUGCUACAAGAGGAAGAUGUCCUAGCCCUGACAAAAAAAGUGGGGCUGAUCUCAAGAAUCCAACCCAAACCUACUGUAGCUGAAUCGAAUCCUAACUCAAGCGACACUAUAGGACAGAAUAGAACUGCCGAAAGGGUUUCCAAGGCUGUAAUCUUUAUGGAAGCAGACUACCACAUCUUUCUUCUGUGGAGUGGCCGAUGGGUUAGAACAGCAGACCUUUUGGUUAGCAGCCUAGCAUUUAACCACUGUGCCAACAGGACUUCUCAUCUCAAGAACUCUCUUGAUAAACCACAGAAAUGUUAAUUGCUGUUUCAAAGUAUGUUCCCUGAGGAACCAACUCCAAGGUAAAACUUUAUACCAGGAUGGUUCCGAAAAAACAGACAGUGGGAUAAAAUUUUGGAGUUAGAUAACUUGCCCUCCUGUCUGGAUACUAAUCACUGAUGGUAGGUGGACAUAGAUAGUCCCUGACACAAGGUAGGAGUGCAACUGUUAAAACUUCCGACAGUGGUGAGCUGUCAUGGGAUAGUGGUGGAAGGGAAUGCAAUAGCUGGUGCAAUAUGUCAGGCAUUUUAGAAGUUUGGAGGAAAUGGUAUCCAUAAGACCAAAGGAAUUGAGUGACUAUUGCUAAGCUUGACUGAUAUGCUGGACCAGCAAGCAGAAGAAGAGUUACCAUCUUGGCUGGGGUAAUGGAUAAUGACCAGCCAGGGUAAGGCUGAUAUUAGACAAUGGAGGAAGAGAGAAAUAUGUAUGGGACCCAGGCUAUCGACUAGUGUUCACUUGAUAGUUGCUUGCCAUUUUUUUUUUGUCAGUAAAUCAACAAAUACAUUAUCAUUUCCUUUCCUGUUACGGAAACAAUGUUGCUUUAGGAGCAGGAAGGCCCAGAAGAAUUCUAAUUUGAACUAAAUAUUUAUUACCUGUAUGAAUUUGAUGAAGUUACGACAUAUCUCUGCUUCUCAAUUUCUUAUUUAUGAAAUGAGGAGGUUAGACGGCUGAUAUCUAAGUUCUUUUACAGUCUUAUUAUUAUAAAAAGAAUAAGUAUAAGCCACAGAAUUCACACACAUUCAUAGUCUAGAGAAGCAAGCAUAUAACCUCUGUUUUUCAGUGUAUUAAUUAUGAUAAAUAUAACAACCCAUGGCUCCCCUAUUAUGUGACAUGAGGGAUGAUCAAUAAAAGACAAAUCCACCUCAUAAAUGCAAAGUGGCGUAUUAAGACAGAUACCAUUCGGAAUAUCUUGACAACUUAAAGUGUUUUGUGCUUCUGUGAUUACAUUUAGAAUGGAUUAAAAUGAAACAUUAAUAGUGAUAGGAGGAAUGCAGCCUUCAGAAUUGGAAUGAGGCAUUCAUGUGAAGGAUGAAAGCUCUGUUUGAUUUCUGAAACGUGAUUAAAGAUAAUUUACCAAAACUUUUAAUGUUUUGGCAUUCUAUCUCUCAGUUAUAACUUUAGAAUUCUCAGUUUAAAAACAAAAUUUGAUGGAAUUUUUCUGAUCUGGCUUAGAGAUGGUCUCUGCAGUGGUAAGAUCUUCCCAAAUCCAGUGGACACAGCAAUAGAAAAGUGGGUAGAAAAUUCAGGGAUUCACAUAGUUCUUUUUAACCUUGUUUUUAGAUUAGGAAGCUGCGGAGUAUAUGGAAAUAUGUCUUAUUGAAGUGAGAAAGAUCCAGUACAAAUUACAUUUGCUUUUUGACUCAGGGGAACUACUUAAACUUUCAGAACUUGUGUUCUGUUAAAUUGGUUUGUUAAAAAAAUAGAAGAUAUUGUGUGUGUGUGUGAUUUUUCACUUCAAAAAUUUAUACUUUUCUUCACAGUGAUUAUUAAAGGGGUAAUAAUCACAUCAACUGGUAUAUGGCAUUAAUAACUCUAUGUAUGCUCAUGACAGUGUGCUAUAUGGAACAGAAACAUCAGGAAAAGAAUUCAGUUCAGUACCUUACAUGAUCUUCAUCAUUUCCCAUUAGUCAAACCAACAGAUGAUCUGGUUUUGCCAUAAUAGCUGUGGAUAUGAGAUAAUUAUAUUGACCUUCAAACAGAAACUUAAUUGUAUAAUCUUAGCAUUUUUUUUUAAUGUUUUAGGAUGACAUUAGAAUGAGUUCCUAGAAUUUUUAUUUUGUCAUUCCUUCAUUAUACAAAUAAGUCUAAUAUACAUAAAGUUGUUACGCUAUUUGCACAAUGAAAUGUUCAUUACUUUGUAGGUUUGGCUUUAUACUACAUCUAAAGUAUUCACAUUAAAAAGCUUUCCCAAGGAUCCUUGACCUUUCAUUUCCCAAGAUCCCUGUGUAAUCUAUAUAUGUAUCGGUUCUGGUUUAAUAAAAGUCCCACUCACAUUUUUCAACGUUUCCUUCUUCUACAUAACCAUUUGUCCCUGCUUCUAUGCCUUUUAUUUUCAUUGCUCACAAGUUUGUAGAAGCGGUUGUAGCUACCACUCAUUCUUCCCCACAAAUACUGAA